UUUAAAAUAAAUCGUUCCAUUUUCGCAUUAUAAUUAAUUUAAAUGUCUUCUUAAUAGAUGCAAAUGAACUGACUGUUGUCAAAACUAAAUUAUAUUAUCCAUUAAUUUUAAAUGGAACAGAUAAUAAACCAAUUUAAAAACCUUCAUUUAUUUUCAGAACCAAGCCCAAAGGGGAAAAAGUGGAACAAUCAAUUCACUCCAACAUGGCACAUCGUUAUUUAAUUAACCACGGUUAAUUUGUUAACCGGCAGUUAAACGACGAUAUUAACAAUGCUAAUUAUAAGGGUUUGUGACCAUUUAUUAUAAAUUUGUGCUGCUUAAAAGCAAUAUAUAUGUUAAAAAUGUUCAAUUUUGAGCCAAAAUACUUCAAAUCGUUAAGACUUUUGUCUUUAAUGUGCGGUAGAUUGCCUUUUAUUUUUAAAUGAAAUGAUUUAAUGUUAUAGGGUAAAUUAGUGUUUUCUCUGUGUAGUUGUAACACCUUUUUCCUCCUUUGCAGCAUUUCUCGCGAAUCAUGUCAUCUGAUCAAAGUCUCCCAGAAGCACUCUGGGUGCUGCCAGUGGUGGUUCAGGCUACAACUCCAUCUGGUGGAGAAUAAAGGAGGGCGACAAGCAUUCGUGAGCAUGUUUCCACUUCUUUAUCAAAAAAAGUUGGCUAACCAUCAAGUUGAAGACAGUUGAGAUAUCCUGUCUGAAUUCCACCCAGCUGUCCCCUCUACCCAUCUCUUCACCAGCGAAAAGAGCCCACUCAGCUGCCCCCACUUUGGAACUCAUUAAAGUUGUGGUUCAGAAACAUCAAUGUCAAAUUUUAAUUAUUUUCUUGUAUUUAUUUCCUAGUCUUUUAAUUUCCAGUAAGAUGCCUACAAUAUAUUAUUAUCAUACUUCUAUUAAUUUUCAUCUGUUGUGUUCAAUGAAGCAAUAAAAUGUUCUGAGAUCAUUAAUGGAAAAUAUUGGAAAAACUUUAAAUAUAAAGGCUUUGAAAGAGGUUUUCACAGACAACUACUAAGACACCCGAUAUGUAAUGCUGGAGUGUUAGUGCGAAUUACUAUGAAGAUGUUAUGAACUGAGAUCUACAAGUUGAAGCAAAUGUCUAAAUCUCAUCGUACUGACAUCAAAUUUGGCAGUACUGUUCAAAAGCAAAAAUGGAAUGACAUUUAUAAAGGAUAAAUGUUUAUGUUUUCAGCAUUUAAUUGUAUAUUUUAAAGAUUAUUUUAAAGAUUUACCUGGCCACACAUAAACUGAAAGCAUGUGGGUUCUUUGGUGCAACCUGAGUACCUGAAAAAAGACAUAAUGCUCACAAAACAUGUCCAACCCAGAAAACCAACUGUGUUCAUGAUCACUACGGAUAACCAAACACGUUGGACCAGAAAAGUCCUCCUAAAAGGUGUAUUCAGGCCUUACUGUAGAGAUCGCAUCCCAUAAUCCUCCAGGAGACACACCUGUAGAGGAGAGUAUAAAAACUCUGGCCUGACCUGAACAGCACAUCAAGCUUCAAGCAGUCUCUCCACAUCUGCUACCUACAGAAGCUCCACAG
rnacentral:lncRNA from 1 species